GGGGAAUAUUGCACAAUGGGCGCAAGCCUGAUGCAGCGACGCCGCGUGAGGGAUGACGGCCUUCGGGUUGUAAACCUCUUUCAGCAGGGAAGAAGCGCAAGUGACGGUACCUGCAGAAGAAGCGCCGGCUAACUACGUGCCAGCAGCCGCGGUAAUACGUAGGGCGCAAGCGUUGUCCGGAAUUAUUGGGCGUAAAGAGCUCGUAGGCGGUUUGUCGCGUCUGCUGUGAAAACGCGAGGCUCAACCUCGCGCCUGCAGUGGGUACGGGCAGACUAGAGUGCGGUAGGGGAGACUGGAAUUCCUGGUGUUGCGGUCGAAUGCGCAGAUAUCAGGAGGAACACCGGUGGCGAAGGCGGGUCUCUGGGCCGUAACUGACGCUGAGGAGCGAAAGCAUGGGGAGCGAACA
rnacentral:rRNA from 1 species